rnacentral:lncRNA from 1 species
GUAGAUGAUCAAGGCAUCCAGUCAAUGCAGGCCGACAAGUAGCCUGAGGACUUGCUUUUAGGUAGGGCUGGUCCCUAGGGUGGGCUGCCUGCCCUGGCUGAACUGGAUUAAAUCUGUGCUUUAGUGGGUGUGACAGACCCCUGGGCUAACAGGCCAAGGGAUAAACCUCAAUGGUGCCCAUCAAGUUCUGUGUCAGCAUGCCUGGACCAGGUCAGAACAAUGGCCCCUACCAAUGUCUCAGUCUCCAGAGAGGUCCCUCCUCUCACCAAGAUGCCCUCAGAGCCCAUCAGGUUGAGAGAAGGGAAUUUCUGGCCUGCAAGAAAGAGGGACAUUUCCCAGGCUGGACCACUUGUGGUGAGACACCCCGUGCCAGUGCUGCCCAGUUGCCUAGUGUCUCUUGGUGGCAGAGGGGGAAGUUCAGGCCAGCAAAGAAGCAUUUUGUUGAGGAUUUUUGCACCUACAUUCUUCAGUGAUAUUGGCCUGUAAUCUUCCAGGCAAAGGAAAUAAAAGAAAAAAAUAAACAAAUGGGACAAGAUCAAACUUAAAAGCUUCUGCACAGCAAAGGAAACCAUCAACAAAACAAAAUGGCAACCUAACAAUUGAGAGAAGAUAUUUGCAAGUCAU